UGAUGUGACGGCAAUCUGGCUGCAACAUCUGUCAUCCCAUUGAUCACCAGGGUUGAUUUGGCUGAUCUGACUGGCUAGGCAGGUAACUCCUUCUUCCUUCAACACUCCGUGUGCGUCCCUCCUGAACCCGCACAACCAGUCAAAGAGGACGACCAUCCCCAAUAGAGGAGGGCUGUUUUUUGGCCAAGGGUAUACGAGUAGCUUUGCUCAGAAACUCCAAACAAGCUCUCAAAGUAAGCUUUUGAUAUUUCCUUAUAAUGUAUAGCUUUCCUGCUAUAUAUUAUUUUCUUUCCAAAA
rnacentral:snRNA from 1 species